GGAUUGACAACCAGCCUAUCUGCAGGAUGUCUCGGGUCUGGCCAAUCCUGAUGGAAACUGGUGUGAUCAGAAUUCUGUACCAUCCACAUUGGAAUAUACAUGGAAUAGUGUAAAACCUACGUGAGCAGAUGAAAUAGAAGCAUUAAAUAUUUUUAUCUAUAUCCAAAAAGGAGCACAUUUUUAUAUUUACAGAACCAUUUAAGCUGGUUUGAAUAACGACGACAAAGUUUGAGCACACCUAUCCCCCAGCUUCGGAGGGGCCACCAGUAUCUAGCUGUGGAUUGUGUGUUUUGUUUAGAAUCAGUAGCUUGGUUUUCUUACUUGAGCCAAUAUAUUUUCACUUAUUUAUUAUCAUAAAAAUUUACCAGUCUGAAUAGAUCUUGUAAAUAUUUGUGAAUAGAAUGAACACCGUUCAUACCACUGCAGCCACUGGAAAUCAUUCUGUGGUGUCCUGGAAGCAUUAUCGGUAGGCUCUAAAGUUUUCUAGACUUUGCUGUCACCUGUAAUUGUGAUGUAUUCUAGGCAGUGGUGGACACUCUUACAUUUGUGUAAAUACUUCUGCAGAGGUACUGAUGCUGUAAAGUCAACAGUUUUGUGGAACUGUGAUUUUUUUUUCCCCCUCCUUUUUUUGGUUUCCUUGGAUCCCACUCCCUUGGGUGGGGUUUUUUUGGGUUUUUUUGUUUGUUUUGUUUUGUAUUAUACACCUUGUAGAACUCAUUUUGCUGGCUGAAAGAGUAUGGAAUAAUAUAUCUCAUGUCAUUUUUGUAGAAGAAAAACUAUUUGAAUUUUUUUUUGUUUGGUUUUCCCUCCCAUGUAUCCACUGUAAGCAUUUGUCAUGUGCAAGCUCAGAGCUUGUGCAGAAUUUUUUGUAUUUGUAAAUUGGUUUAAAUACAUGGAAUUUUAUACAGGUUUUCUCCUGUGUUAUAUAUGCAUUAUGUGCAGGUAUGAUAUUUUCUUCACUACUUUUUCUAUCUUAAUAUAGUGUGGAAUUUUAUUGUAUUAUUCUUCCAUUCUUAAUACUGUACCACAUUCCUGCUCAAAAACUGCUCACUUCCUUAAAUUGUCUUUUUUCCCCCUAAGCGUGAAAUGUAUCCACUUAUAACUGCCUAUUGCCUGUUCUAUUAGCAUCCAAAAAUGUGGAAGGCCUCCCAACAACCAUUUCUGCUGUGUCCUUAGGAUGUGCAGUAAAAAAUAUAGACCUGACAGUUUAUGUUAUAGAAUGGCUUUAUUUACUUUGGUGACUGUUUAUAGUUUUUAAAUAAAAGACUGAACAUUUUCUUGAGUCCUUUAUUUCUGAGUAUGCUUAAGACAUUGUAAAAUUUAAAGUCUAGCUGAAGGCAAAGUCAAACGGUCACCUCCUUUAUACUUUGUGAUAAUAUUGUAGAGAGCAGAAAGGUGCAUCAGAUGACAUACACCAUGGUCAUGGCAGGAAAACCAAACUUUUUGUUUACGAUAUUUAGGAGCAGUAAGCCCAGUGAGAGACAGUUCAGAGCUCAGCUGCCUUACCCUUGUGUCAGCAUCUGACUGAAGCUUUUCUUUACCAUUUGACUGUAGGUUGAAUUCAGAGGCAGAUUUUUUAAUGAGCUUCAGUCUGGACAUACAUUUUCAGCAUCUUGAUUCACUAAUUAUUACCUGAAGUAAUUUCUCCCCAAGGGGCCUCUGCCUGUGUACUCGGCUCUAUCUGUAAAACGAUGUGUGGAAACACCCAAAACUCGGUAUUCUCAGGUUGUUGGCAUUGACUUCUUCACCUUAGACUGGGGCUGCCCAGCAGACAGCCUGGGUCCAGAUACCUUAUUAUAUCCCGCAAAUAUUUCCAGACUAAAGGUUCCUAAGGGCAGAUGGUGGCAGACAUUUAUAUUCACUGUGUUUAUCUAAAAAAUUUGAGGCUUUCUGAAAUAAUUUUUGUAACAUCACUGUUUGCUUCUCUUCAAGGUACCUUUUACCUUUCAAAGCAGGAAAUUACCACGGUGGUUAACUUUUAGUAGCAGAAACAACAGGCUUAAAGUGAUUUCCACAGUCACCAUCUUGUCACCUCACUGAAUUGCAUCCUGUAGUUGUAGGUUUUGUGUUAAAAUGUAUAAAUGUGUCUUUAGUGCUUUUAAGCAAUGGUCUCAGCAGAAUUUUCUCAAUGUACUUGACCUGAGGAAACCAAUUUCUAGCUUCCCUCUUAGGCUUUCCCUCCGACAGCUUUACCUGACUAGCGGACUAACACGGACUUGGUGGGUGACGCAGCUGAAGUGCCCUUGAGUCCAGGUCCUGCAGAACCCUCAGUCAUGAAAAGGUGCUCCGUGCUAGACAGAAACUUGCUGACUUCCAGUAUUGUUAUUUUUGUCUAAAGUUGUGUAAAUACAAGCUUUGAUGUUAUCUUUGAGAAAUCUAUGUAAAUAAUAGUCAACAACAUAGACUGUACAAUUCUGUGUUAUAUAUGUGCCUAGUGCUCUGUUGGCACUUAAUAAAUUUUAAGUAACAAAACUGAUGAUCAUAUAGUGAAGGCAUAUUUUUCUUCCGACUUGACAGGAUAUGACUAUAUAUUAAUGAGACUCAAUAAACCAAGCCACACAUGAAAACUUGUCUCAUUACUUUAUAGCCAUGCCAUGUAUGUUUUUUAAACCAUAAAUGACAAUAAAAGUGAUUUUUGAAAUGAG
rnacentral:lncRNA from 1 species